UCUAAGGCAUGGAUAAGAGGUGGGCUGGGUUUCCAGAGCCCAGGCCAAAUCCCACAGUAACCUUCUGCUUUUAUGGUAGGCUAAACUGAAGCCCUGGAUCUGUGUGUUAUAAGACGCCAAAGACUGUACUUUACAGUUGCUGUAAGGCAGAAACUGUCUUUUCUGCUACACAGAAAAACUUAAGCCUGCAGGAUGCAGAUCAAAACUUCCCUCCCAGGUUCAGCACUGCAGUUCCACUGGAGUCAGAGAGGCUAGGAAGAAAGCAUCAGCUUUUUGUGUAUUUUUCAUCCUGCCUUGAGGAUCAUUAUAACUGGAAGUCUCAUGAAACUUACUUCCGUUUUAGCAAAACUUCAAAUGCAAAGCACAUCAUGAAGGACUGCUUGGGUCUGCCUCUUCCAGAAAUCUACACUACAAGAAUGAUUGCACUGGUUCUGUACUCUGAGAAUCUAGCUGAACCUUUAUGGAAAAAGGGAGGCAGAAUGGGCCUGCAGGGCCACAGGGAUAGAAGAAACCACAGAUCAAGUUGCACGCCCUCCAAGACUUGACAAGAGCCAUCUUGGCAUAUGGAGGAUAGCAGGUAGGAGCCAACAGAUUACACAAAGCCCCUGGCUCUGCUCCUCUAGAGCCACAGCAACACCCCGAAAACCUCAGAAAGACUGCUGCUGUUCACUGAUAUUAACAAACUGCUAAUAAACCUAAUACUCAAACAUA